GGGGAUAUAGCUCAGUGGUAGAGCGCAUGCUUAGCAUGCAUGAGGUCCUGGGUUCGAUCCCCAGUGUCUCCA
rnacentral:tRNA from 1 species